rnacentral:rRNA from 1 species
UACGAAGGGGGCUAGCGUUGUUCGGAAUUACUGGGCGUAAAGGGCGCGUAGGCGGUACUUCAAGUCAGGCGUGAAAGCCCCGGGCUCAACCUGGGAACCGCGCUUGAGACUGGAGAACUAGAGUUCGGGAGAGGAUGGUGGAAUUCCCAGUGUAGAGGUGAAAUGCGUAGAUAUCUGGAGGAAUACCGGUGGCGAAGGCGGCAUCCUGGACCGAGAUUGACGCUGAGGAGCGAAAGCUAGGGGAGCAAACGGG